rnacentral:rRNA from 1 species
CCUACGGGAGGCAGCAGUGAGGAAUAUUGGUCAAUGGGCUUACGCCUGAACCAGCCAAGUCGCGUGAGGGAUGAAGGCCCUGCGGGUCGUAAACCUCUUUUGUCGGGGAGCAGAUGGCGCUACGUGUAGCGUCAGCGAGAGUACCCGAAGAAAAAGCAUCGGCAAACUCCGUGCCAGCAGCCGCGGUAAUACGGAGGAUGCGAGCGUUAUCCGGAUUUAUUGGGUUUAAAGGGUGCGUAGGCGGGCAUUUAAGCCGGCGGUAAAAUGUCGGGGCUCAACCCCGGCGUGCCGUCGAAACUGGGGGGCUGGAGUGGGAGAGAAGUACGCGGAAUGCGCGGUGUAGCGGUGAAAUGCAUAGAGAUCACGCAGAACUCCGAUUGCGAAGGCAGCCUACCGGCGCUCAACUGACGCUGAUGCACGAAAGCGUGGGUAUCGAACAGGAUUAGAUACCCGUGUAGUC